UACGUAGGGGGCAAGCGUUAUCCGGAUUUACUGGGUGUAAAGGGAGUGUAGGUGGUUAUGCAAGUCUGAUGUGAAAUCCAUGGGCUCAACCGAUGGACUGCAUUGGAAACUGCGUAACUGGAGUGCAGGAGAGGUAAGCGGAAUUCCUAGUGUAGCGGUGAAAUGCGUAGAUAUUAGGAAGAACACCGGCGGCGAAGGCGGCUUACUGGACUGUAACUGACACUGAGGCUCGAAAGCGUGGGGAG
rnacentral:rRNA from 1 species